rnacentral:Y_RNA from 1 species
GGCUGGUCUGAGUAUAGGGGAGAUUGCAAUUAAUUGUUUACAAACAGUUACAGAUUUCUUUAUUAGUUCUCUACUCCCACUUCUUCACUUGGUAGGGGUG